AUUAAAAAACCUUAGUUUGCUGCAGGCUAAGAAGAAUGGAUCCGGAGGAAAGAAAAGAGGAAUUUUACCUGUCAGAAGACGUUAUGGUGGACAUCCUUUCAAGACUCCCUGUGAUAUCCCUUCUCCGAUUCAAGUCCGUAUGUACCCAAUGGCAUGACUUAAUCUCAUCCCUUUCCUUCGCCUCUUUGCACCUCAAGUGCUCUAUUUCCAAUCCCCCAAGGCACUCCAUCCUUGUUCAUACCGAUUACAAUAACAACUUUAUUCCCUUCGAUCCCUUGACCUAUUCCCCAUUCUCUAAUUUGGAUAUUUAUUGUAGUCUCAGCUCUUUUGGUCAAAAUGUAUUGUUUGUAGGCUCAAUCAAUGGCCUCGUUUGUAUAUGUGGGAGCUCAGGUAAAUGGAUUUGUCUACGGAAUCCUUCCACCCAGCUGUUCAGGAAAUUCUGAACCGGUAUAAAUAGGUGUACAAAUUCUUUUUCUGUAGGGUUUGGUUAUGAUCUCAUUGCCAAUGAUUACAAGGUAGUAGUAAUUGGUUUAAGACGUGGACAAGGGGUAACGAGAAUGGGGGUCAAGGUUUAGCCCUAAGUUGCGUGUUUGUGAUGCGAUGGUGAAGGGAUUUGCUUAUUGGAUUGUCAGGGAGGGGCUUGGAAGUAACGGCAAUAGUCUAGUUGCUUCAUUCAACAUGAAUACUGAGGUACUAUGGCUUGUUCCGGUUCCUGAAUGUUAUUUUCGCAAUAUUUAUGCUUUUCAUGGAUUGAUUUGGAAGGAUAAUUUCGCUUUGGCUGCAACUAAGGGUGUGAAGAUAUAUCAAGUGUGGACAAUCGAAAAUGAAAGUGUUGG
rnacentral:lncRNA from 1 species